ensembl:lncRNA
GAGAGGGAAAAUGGAAAGGCGGGGCAGCUCGGGGGCUGCUGCAGAAAUCCAGGAGAGCGGUGGGAGUGCAGCCUCUGUCCAGGCAGAGGGGCAUCGUGGACAUGAACCUAAGGACGUAGCCUCCCGGUGCGGGGGCAGGGACCCUGGCAGAGGCUUCUGCAGCUGGGAGGAGGCCACCUCUUCUUUGCGGGCUGGAGGCCAGGCUGGGUAUGAAGCUGGAUGCUGAAGAGACAAGGAUGAGCAGAAACAGAUGAGGCCUCUGCCACUCCAGAGCGAGCAUGGUUAAUACUGGGAGAGGUCUGAACAGAUGUAAAAAGAUGCCGUGCUUAGCACUGUAAAGUGCUGUCCCUAGUGCAGCGAGAAGGUAAAUCAGCACAGGUCAGGUGGUUCCAUGCCCACCCACCCCACCCCACCCCCGGAGGUCACAGGUUGACAGGUCCUUGACCUUCUCCCCAACUGCAUCACAUUCCUUUGCUUUGAAGGUUGUGGAUCUUUACCUGCUCCUCCCUGUUCAUGGCACCUGCCUCCUGCACACAGCAGGUGCUUAGUGUGUUUUUGAUGGCUAACCUGAUGCCAUGGCAUGUUCGUUGGCCGUUUUGGUGAUAGCAGCCAGGUGGGCACUGACUGGCUUUUCUUUAGAGACCUACGGAUGGGCAUCUUGGUGAUAGCGGGACAGCAGCGCCACAGCCUGGCUGGUUAUCACACCCACCGCGUGGACCCUCAGCCCUCAGACGGAAUGUCAUUGACACUUGUCCUUUUAUAAAAGCACAAAUCGGAGUUCCCUGGUGGCCAAGCAGUUAAGAAUCUGGCGUUGUUGUCACUGCUGUGGCUUGGGUUUGAUCCCUAGCCUGGGAACUUCCCAAUGCUGGCAACUUUCACUGAUGCACCAGAUUAUCAAGGGAAAUGGGGAGUGAGGGUUCAGUGUGGACAGGGUUUUUCUCUUUGGGAACUGAAUGAAAAAUUUCUGAAACUGAAUAGUGGAGAUGGUUGUACAAUAUUGUGAAGGUACUUUAAUGCCACCAAAAUACACAAUUAAAAUGGUUAAAAUGG